rnacentral:rRNA from 1 species
UACAGAGGCCUCAAGCGUUGUUCGGAAUCACUGGGCGUAAAGGGCGCGUAGGCGGCCAUUCAAGUCAGAGGUGAAAGCCCAAGGCUCAACCUUGGAACUGCCUUUGAUACUGUUUGGCUUGAGACCGGUAGAGGUAAGUGGAACUGCGAGUGUAGAGGUGAAAUUCGUAGAUAUUCGCAAGAACACCAGUGGCGAAGGCGGCUUACUGGACCGGUUCUGACGCUGAGGCGCGAAAGCGUGGGGAGCAAACAGG